AUGCAGACUUUGAAGCUGGAGAAACAGAGAACACUGUGGGACACAGAAAGGGUAUACAGCAGGUGGAAGAGAGUUAACCAGAACCUGACCCGGGUGGCAAGCUACUGUGAAAACAACUAUGUACGGGCUACAGAAAAGAGAAAAAACUCUAGAAGAGACCAAAGUGUAUACAACCAAAUCUAGCUAGUGUUGCUUGUCAAAUAAACACACUGGCUUACAAAGUUCUCAUUGCUGGACGUCCAAGCCUCUCAGCUUCGGAGAAACAAAUUCCAUCAAUUCCAUCAAUUCCAUCUCACAGACUGUGGGUAUUCAUGAAGAAAAAGUGACUGGAAGAGAGACUGGUGUUUUUACAACAAAUAAGAGUACACCUAGAAAUUACAAAAUAAUAGCACCUGCAAAUAUGGAGCACCCUGUAAAGUACAUUCAGAAGCCUACUAACUAUGCAGUUCUGGAUGAAGUGGGCCAUGGAAUUAAGCUUGGAAAUAACCAGCCUGCAAGAACCAGCACGUUGUUGAAACCAAAUUCUCCUACUCAGAAGUCAUUGAGUCCUCCUCUGUUAGGUUGAAGACUGUGGUACAGAAUAUUCCUUAUAAAACCCUAGAACCUGUUAAACCCCCAACAGUUCCUAGUGACUACACAACUAGUCCCACAAGCUUGGAAGUCAAGCAUAGUGCAAGCAGGAUGGGUUCUUUAAGUCAGAGCCCCGGGACACAUAGUGGAAGCAGUGGAGGAAGUGGGAGUCGAGACAACAGUGGCCGCAGUAGCAUUGGUGUUUCCAUUGCUGUGACUCCAUCUCCCCCACCACUGUCGGUCCAGCCCCUGACUCAGCUCCUGGUUCCCACUAUGGCAGAAGAACCAGAGAGAUUUCUUGACACAACUCCACCUCCACCAGCACCUCCGCGUGUGGAUUAUGAAGAUGAGGAAGCUGCUAUAGUUCAGUACAGUGAUCCCUACGCAGAUGGGGAUCCAGCAUGGGCCCUCAAGAACUAUAUUGAGAAAGUUGUUGCAAUAUACUACUACUCAAAACACAAGGAUAAUGAGCCGUCAUUUAAGGAGGGUGCAAUCAUCUCUGCUAUAAAGAAGAAUGAGGACUGCUGAUUUGAAGGAGACUGUAAUCACAUGACUGGACUCUUCCCUGGGAACUAUGUUGACUCAAUCAUGCACUAAACUGAUAAGGUUGAAAUUGUGCCAGAUUUGGUGCAGAGAGCUCUGAGAAAACUUUUUCACUCUGAAUCAAAGGGCACCGGAGUAACUGGCUGGGUGCUGUUCUUCCUCUCACUUUUCUCUCCUGAAUGCAGUGGGAGAACUAGCACUGCUGAAGCUCGUGUGAAUGUGAGAAAUCCUGUCACCCCUUUAAGCUUAAUCAAGUAA